GACGAACGCUGGCGGCGUGCUUAACACAUGCAAGUCGAACGGAAAGGCCCUGCUUUUGUGGGGUGCUCGAGUGGCGAACGGGUGAGUAACACGUGAGUAACCUGCCCUUGACUUUGGGAUAACUUCAGGAAACUGGGGCUAAUACCGGAUAGGAGCUCCUGCUGCAUGGUGGGGGUUGGAAAGUUUCGGCGGUUGGGGAUGGACUCGCGGCUUAUCAGCUUGUUGGUGGGGUAGUGGCUUACCAAGGCUUUGACGGGUAGCCGGCCUGAGAGGGUGACCGGCCACACUGGGACUGAGAUACGGCCCAGACUCCUACGGGAGGCAGCAGUGGGGAAUAUUGCACAAUGGGCGGAAGCCUGAUGCAGCAACGCCGCGUGCGGGAUGACGGCCUUCGGGUUGUAAACCGCUUUCGCCUGUGACGAAGCGAGAGUGACGGUAAUGGGUAAAGAAGCACCGGCUAACUACGUG
rnacentral:rRNA from 1 species